UACGUAGGGUGCAAGCGUUGUCCGGAAUUAUUGGGCGUAAAGAGCUCGUAGGCGGUCUGUCGCGUCGGCUGUGAAAACUUGGGGCUCAACCCCAAGCCUGCAGUCGAUACGGGCAGACUAGAGUGCGGUAGGGGAGACUGGAAUUCCUGGUGUAGCGGUGGAAUGCGCAGAUAUCAGGAGGAACACCGGUGGCGAAGGCGGGUCUCUGGGCGAGUAACUGACGCUGAGGAGCGAAAGCGUGGGGAGCGAACAGG
rnacentral:rRNA from 1 species